rfam:Triticum aestivum genome assembly, contig: Triticum_aestivum_CS42_TGACv1_scaffold_404778_5BL
CUUGUACUCCCUCCGUCCGAAAAUACUUGUCAUUGAAAUGGAUGUAUCUAGAUGUAUUUUAGUUCUAGACACAUCCAUUUUGAUGACAAUUAAUUUCGGACGGAGCGAGUACUUG